GGCAGCUUGCCUGAGCACUAGGCCUCAAACAGCCACCUGCGCUGCACACAAUGCAGCUGCUGUCGUUAAUAUCAAUUCUGUGUGUAGCAGCUUUCCAGAGCGUUCAAGGUGCCGAAUACUGCGGGAGUAUCAAAUGUCCAUCUUAUCACGACUGUAAAUAUGUCAACGGCUUAUGGGCCUGCGUUUCCAUCUGUCAGCGUCACGACGCUUUUACUUUGAAGUGUAAGGCGCGCAGCUUCUGCCUUCCUUGUAAGGAGAGUCCUGGCCUAUGUUGUCGCGGCUUCGGGUGGCAGGAAACCAUGGACGAGUAUACCUGUUCGAAUUGGUGCCCGCCGGGUCGGUCUUGCAGGUCCAGCGACUGUCCGAAAUAUUACCGGGGAUUCUGCUGCCGUGCCUAAGAUCAUGCCCUGACCAACCCCGUCUCGCUGGACCGGUGGAUGACCUGCCUCGUGACAAAAAAUGAAAAAGAAGUAGGAGACGGUCUGGUUAACUAACCAAAUCAUCGUAAUGCCUUUAAAACUUAGCGUGUUCUUACUAUUUCGGCUGUUAUGUCUUGUUACGUUAGAAUUAAAUCAUUAAUUUUGCUAUCGGCAUAUGUCUAAAAGGGAGAAAUGAAAGUGCGGUCCCAAUAAACUGGAUCAACGUGUU